rnacentral:rRNA from 1 species
GACGUAGGGCGCGAGCGUUGUCCGGAUUUAUUGGGCGUAAAGAGCUCGUAGGCGGCUCAUCGCGUCUGCCGUGAAAACCUGUGGCUCAACUACAGGCUUGCGGUUGAUACGGGUGGGCUGGAGUUCGGUAGGGGAGACUGGAAUUCCUGGUGUAGCGGUGAAAUGCGCAGAUAUCAGGAAGAACACCCGUGGCGAAGGCGGUUCUCUGGGACGGUACUGACGCUGAGACGCGAAAGCGUGGGGAGCGAACAGG